rnacentral:rRNA from 1 species
GCUUGUUGGUAAGGAAAAGCUUUACCAAGGCUCGAUCUAAUAUGCUGAUUUGAGAGGAUGAUCAGCCACACUUUACUGAGACACGGCCCAGACGUCCUACGGGAGGCAGCAGUGGGGAAUCUGCACAAUGGAGGAAACUCUGAUGCAGCGAUGCCGCGUGAGUGAAGAAGGCCCUUUGGGUUGUAAAGCUCUUUUGUCGGGAAA